AUGAUCCUUUUGGAGACACGUCCACAGGCUGUGAGCUUAGAGAAUAAGAGGGAGGAGAAGAUCCACCUGGCCAUCAGACUACAGGAGGAACCGUGUUUAUUAUUUGUAGAAGUUUCAUUAAUCCGGAAUCAUGCGUCCAGCUGUGCUAACCGCUGUCCUGCUCUCGGUGCUCUUCAUCAACGCCGUGACGUCACUGAACCUCGGCAAUCUGCCGCUGCGUGAAGAGCGAGCUCUCUUCGAUGCGCCACCAGAUGUUGCGGUUCCGGUGGCUCCCGCUCCACUGAACAUGCGGGCUUCCCGAGCCGCCGACUCGAACCAGAGAAACAUUCACAA